AACACUGCCAUGACGACAAGUCAUAGAGGGAAGGACUCUCUCUAUUCAGUAUGGUUCUAGAAAGGUUAGAGGGACGUCUACAGGAACUAGAUGCUGACAGACCACGUCUGAAAAGGCAAGCACAGAGCAGAGAAUAAACUCGGAGAGGAGGGACAGGUUUCGACCGAGCUCUUUCGAACAGCAAGGGCACAUUACUUUAACGUCCAAAAUCAGUGUCACGAACAGACAACCAAGUGCUUUGAUGUGCAAAACUACUCUUGAGCCUUAAAGGAGGAGUUUGACGAAGAUGGUUGUGACUCCCGAAGCCCAAAAUAUAGAUCAUGCAGCUCAUACUUUGAAUUGCUCUGAUGAGAUACACCUGCUUUAGUGAUACAGACGUGACUCUUGAAUAAAGUAAGACCAGUGCACAGGAAGGCUCUCCUCAUUCUGCAUCUUACUUACCGCAAGGAACUUCGUAGCUCUCACCUCCCCACAGGAUAGCUACUAUUCCUCAGUGAAAGCACCAUCCUGACAAAGAACAAGAAAACCAGAUUACAAUGGAAAUAUCCUGAGGAAUACCUACAAACAUUUCCGACCGGAGCAAUAGGAGACACACUCUUGAUUUUCAGAUGCAAUUUUCUCCAAAGUAUUUCCCACAAGGAUACAAUGUAUCCAUUAUCAAGGACCCCUACUGGAGAAGCGUAACUGGUAAAAUGUUGCCUAUACCAAGGCAGAUCAUGAUUCAGCAAAGUUGAACACUUGGUAUUGUGGUAAGCUCUCCACGCUAUGCUUAGGUAUGGAAUUACAUAAUAAAAUAUAUCGACAAUA
ensembl:lncRNA